CCGAGUUUACAAACUCCCAAACCCUUUGUGAACCUUACCUAUCGUUGCUUCGGCGGGAUCGCCCCGGGCCGGCCCUUCACGGGGCCUCCGGAACCAGGCGCCCGCCGGAGAACCCAAACUCUUUGUUUUUAUGGUUUUCUCCUCUGAGUGGAUUAUAAACAAAUAAAUCA
rnacentral:misc_RNA from 2 species